AACAGUUGAGGAGAAACCUGAAGAACUAGCAGUUGAAGAGAAACCCGAAAAACCAACAAUUGAGGAGAAACAUGAAGAACCAAUAGUUGAGAAGAAACCUGAAGAACCAGUAGUUGAGGAGAAACCAGAAGAACCACUAAUUGAAGAGGAGAAAUCUGAAAGGGUAACUUUCCUAGAAAAGGUGAGGAUCAAGCAUUGUCAAAAGGUUUAUCCAUCUUAUUAGUUGUGUAUGUGCGACGAUUCACAUCUGCUUACUUAUUGAAAGACUAAGUGAAACUUCAAAAUUCUUGCAGAGUAUGCUAGUUGUAGACUCGAACGACAAGACUGACAGUGAAAUUCCAUGCAAUACCAACAAAGAUGCUGCCCACUUUCCCGAAGUUGAGGCAAACCCUGAAGAACCAGCAGUUGAAGGAAAACCUAAAGAACCCGUUGAUGAAGAGAAACCAGAUGUACCAGUGGUUGAGAAACCUGAAAAACAAAUGGUUGAGGAGAAACUUGAAGAACCAAUGAUUGAGGAGAAAUCUGACGAACUAGUCGAGGAGAAAUCUCAACAACCAGCGGCUGAAAAGAAACCUGAAGAACCAGCAGCUAAAGAAUCACUUAAAGAGCUAGCAGGGGAGGAAACAACUGAAGAACUAGCACUUGAAGAGAAACUUAGAGAACCAACAGUUGAAGAACUAGUUCUUGAAGAUAAACCUGAAAACCCAGAAAAUGAAGAGGAUAAACUUGAAACAGUAACUCUCCAGGAAAAGGUAAGAAACAAGCAGUGUCACAGAGUUUAUCCAUCCUAUUAGCUCUACAUAUGCAAUGAAUUCACAUCUGUUUAUCCACUGAAAGACUAAGUGAAACUUUAAAUUUUUCUUGCAGAAUUUACCAAUUGCAGACUCAAACGACAAGACUGACAAUGCAACUCCCUGCAAUAACAACAAUGAUAUUGCUGACUCUGCAGCAGUUAAGGAAAAAACUGAAGAACCAGUAGUUGAGGAAAAACAUGAAGAACCGGCAACUGAAGAGAAAUCUGAAGAAUCAGAAUUUAUGAAAAAAACUGAAGAACCAGCGGUUGAGGUAAAACCUGAAGAACCAUCAGUGGAAGAGAAGCCUGAAGAACCAGCGGUUAGGAAAAAUCCUGAAGAACCAGCAGUUAAUGAGGAACCUGCAAAAUCAGCAACGGAAGAGAAACCUGAAGAACCAAUUGCUGAGGAGAAACUUGAAGAACCAACUCUUAAAGAGAAACCUGGAAAACCAGUAAUUGAAGAAACACCUGAAGAACCAACACUGGAAGUAACACCUAAAGAACAAGCAGAGAAACCUGAAGAACCAGUUGAAGAGGAAAAAACUGACAAGGUAACUCUUUUGGAAAAGGUGAGCAUCAAACACUGUCACAAAUUUUUGCCAUCAUAUUAGUUCUGUAUGUGCAACAAUUCACAUCUAAUUAUCCAUUGAAAGACUAAGUGAAACUUUAAUUCUUCUUGCAGAAUAUACCAGUUGUAGAUUUCAAUGAUACGACUGACAGUGAAAUUCCAUGCAAUACCAACGACGAUGUUGCUGAAGACGUAGCAGUUGAGGAAAACCUUGAAGAACCAUCAGUUGAGGAGAAACCUGAAGAAUUAGCGGUUGAAGAGAAACCUGAAAAACCAGCAAUUGAGGAGAAACGUGAAGAACCAAUAAUUGAGAAGAAACCUAAAGAACCAGCAGUUGAGGAGAAACCUGAAGAACAAACCGUUGAAGAGAGACUUGAAGAACCAACAAUUGAAGAUGAGAAACUUGAAGAACCAACAAAUGAAGAUGAGAAACUUGAAAGGGUAACUCUCCUAGGAAAGGUGAGGAUCUAGCACUGUCACAAAGUUUGUCCAUCCUAAUAGUUUUAUACGUGCAAGACUUUCAGAUCUGCUUAUUGAAAAACUAAAUGAAACUUUAAAUUCUUCUUACAGAAUAUGCAAGUUGUAGACUCCAUCGACAAGACUGACUGUGAAAUUCCAUGCAACACCAACAAUGAUGUUGCUUACCAUCCAGCAGUUGAGGAAAAUCUAGAAAAAACAGCAAUUGUGGAAACAACUGAUGAACCAGUGGUUGAAGAGAAACCUGAUGUACCAGCGAUUAAGGAGAAACCUGAAGUACCAAAUAUUGAGCAGAAACUUGAAGAGUUAGCAGGAGAGGAAACACAUGAAGAACUAGCAGUUGAAGAGAAACUAGAAGAACCAAUUACUGAAGAGACACCUGCAGAACUAGUUAUAGAAGAGAAACCUGAAAACCCAGCAGUUGAAGAGGAGAAACCUGAAACAGACGCUCUCCAAACGAAGGUCAGGAUUAAACAUUGUCACAAAAUUUAUCCAUCCUAUUAGCUUUAUAUGUGCAAGGAACUCACAUAUGCUAAUCUAUUGAAAGACUAAGUCAAACUUUAAAUUUUUCUUGCAGAAUAUGCCAAUUGUAGACUCAAAGGACAAGAUUGACAUUGAAAGUCCAGGCAAUAUCAACAAUGAUGGUGCUGACUAUCCAGAAGUUGAAGAUAAACCUGAAGAACUAGCAGUUGAAGAAAAACAUGAAGAACAAGCAAUUGAAGAGAAGCCUGAAGAACCAGCAAUUAAGGAAAAAGCUGAUGAACCAGCAGUGCAAGAAAAACUUGAAGAACCAGCUGUGGAAAAGAAACCUGAAGAACCAGUGGCUACGGAGAAACCUGAAGAACCAGCAAUUAAGGAAAAAGCUGAUGAACCAGCAGCGCAGGAGAAACCUGAAGAACCAGCUGUGGGAAAGAAACCUGAAGAACCAGUGGCUACGGAGAAACCUAAAGAACCAGCAAUUAAGGAAAAAGCUGAUGAACCAGCAGUGCAAGAGAAACCUGAAGAACCAGCUGUGGAAAAGAUACCUGAAGAACCAGCAGUCGAGGAGAAAUUUGACGAACCAGCAGUUGGAGAGAAAUCAGAAGAACCAGUAGUUGAACAAACACCUGCAGGACCAGCAUGGGAAGAAACACCUAAAGAACUAGCAUUUGAAGAGAAACCUGAAGAACCAGCAGUUGAAGAAACACCUGAAGAACCAGCAGUUGAAGAAACACCUGAAGAACUAGCAGUUGAAAAGAACCCUGAAAAAACAGCAGUCGGAGAGAAACAUGAAAAAGUAACUCUCUUGGAAAAGGUGAGGAUCAAGCACAAUCACAAAUUUUAUCCAUCCUAUUAGUUAUGUAUGUGCAACAAUUCACAUCCGCCUGGUGGAAGAUUAAGUUAAACUUUAAUUCUUCUUGCAGAAUAUACCAAUUAUAGAGUUAAACGAGAAGAAUGACAGCUCAACUCCUUGCAAUACCAACAAUGAUGUUGCUGACUAUCUAGCAGUUGAGGAAAAACCUGAAGAACCAGCCAUUGAGAAAAAACCUGAAGAACCAAUGGCUAAGGAGAAACUUGAAGAACCGAAUGUUGAGGAUAAACCUGAAAAAUCAGUGAUAGAGGAGAAAUCUGAAAAACUAGCAACUGAAGACAUACUUGAAGAGCGAGCAGGGGAGGAAACACCUGAAGCACUAGCAGUUGAAGAGAAACCUGACGAAUCAGCAGUUGAAGAGACAGUUGAAGAACUAGCUAUUGAACAGAAAUCUAAAAAAACAGCAACUGAAAAAGAGAAACCUGAAGCCGUAACUCUCCUGGAAAAGGUGAUCAACCACUGUCACAGGGAUUCCUUGCUCUAUAUGUGCAAGGAAUUUACAUCUACUUAUCUAUUGAAAGAUUUAGUGAAACUUUAAAUUCUUCUUGCAGAAUAUGCCAGUUGUAGAUACAAAGGACGAGAUUAACAGUGAAAUUCCAUGCAAUGCCAGCAAUGAUGUUUCUGACUAUCCAGCAGUUGAGGCAAAACCUGAAGAACUAUCCGUUGAAAAAAAAUAUGAAGAACCACCAGCAGUUAUAUUGGAGAAACCUGCAGAACUAGCAGUUGAGGAGACACCUGAAAAAACACUAGUUGAAGAGAAGCCUGAAAACCCAGCAGCACGGGAAGAAACACUUGAAGAACCAGCAUUGGAAGAAACACCUGAAGAACCAACAGUUGAAGAGAAACCUGAAGAAGUAGUAGUUGAAGAAAAACUUGAUAAACCAGCAACUGAAAAAGAGAAACCUGAAAAGGUAACUUUCUGCGAAAAGGUGAGGAUCAAGCACUACCACAAAGUUUGCCAAUCCUAAUAGUUUGUAUGUGCAAGGAAUUCACAUAUGCUUAUUUAUUGAAAGACUAAGUGAAACCUUAAAUUCUUCUUGUAGAAUAUGCCUGUUGUAGACUCAAAUGGUAAGACUGGCAGUAAAAUUACAUGCAACACCAAUAAAGAUGUUGCUGAUAAUCCAGCAGUUGAGGAUGAAGAACCAGAAGUUGAGGAGAAACCUGAAGAACCAACAGUUGAAGAAAAACCUGAGGAACCAGCAAUGGAAGGAAAACUUGAGAAACUGGCAGUUGAAGAUAAACUUGAGGAACGAGCAGUUGAACAGAACCCUGAGGAAACAGCAGUUGAACCUGAAGAACCAACAGUUGAAGAAAAACCUGAAGAACCAGCAAUGGAAGGAAAACUUGAGAAACUGGCAGUUGAAGAUAAACUUGAGGAACGAGCAGUUGAAAAGAACACUGAGGAAACACCAGUUGAAGAAAAACUUGAGGAACCAGUAGUUGACAAAAAAGCUGAAGAACUAGCGGUUGAAGAGAAACUUGAAGAACCAUUAGUUAAAGAAAAGCCGGAAGAACAAAGCAGGGAAGUAACUGAAGCUCCCAUAAAAGAGGCAAAGCUUAACCAGAAUGCAAAUGAAGCAAGCAGCAGUCUGCCAACAGCUAUUCUAAGCCAUCCGCCUGCUCAAGGGACAACAAUGACCAACCCAAUAUUGGGAGAACCAAUUAGUAUUGACAAACCUAAAAACGUGCAACAGCUAGAUUCUCAAGAAAUAUCAGAAAUUGAUGAGGCAAUGCAGAGAGAUGAAGAUAACAUAAAGCAGAAGGAUGAGGCUUCUUUCACUGAAGAGCAGAAGUUUACACCACAGAGUGAGUAAUACUAGUUCACAGACAUGCUUUCCCUAUCCAAUUGAUUUUAUUUGCAAUGGAAAAUGGUGAUACUCUUUAGAGAACAGAUCCAAGAGAUUUAACCAUAGUAUCACUCGCAAAAAGUAGAAAAAACAAUUAUAAAAAUGGAACCAAUCUCUAAAAGGAAGCUGAAAUGGAGAGAAGCACCAGAGACAAGCGCCUUUCUGGUUUGGAGAAACCUUGAAAAAAUAGAAUGCACAUCCACAGUAUUUAGCAAUAAUGAUCAUCUAUCAUUACAUACAUGAACAUAAUUAAUUUAUUACUACAUGGAUAUAAUAAAGAAAUCCUAUGAUAUGCUGUUGCUAAGAUAUUAGGACUAGCAGCAUUCAUUAAGUCGUAAAUUGCUAUAUGAAUGUAACAAGCACCUUUUUGGGGGUUCAAAGAUUUCUAGUCACUUCAAUAAUGACUAGAUGUGGUAUUAACAUCUACUACCGACAUAUUGCAGGUGAUGAAAAUCAAAAUACUUCGACAGGGGAUAGUUUCUUAAAUAAGAACAUGUUCGCUGAAGGUGAAGCUGUGCACAUUAAUAGUCAAGAGGAUCUAAUCAGGCAAGAAAUUUCAGGAAGCACAAAAUCUGAGAUAAAUCCAAAUUCAAGUAAAGGAACAGAAAGUGAGGCAAGUGAUAUUGCUAAUAGAGAAGGAUCAAGCAGACUUGGUUAAGCAAAUAAUUUAGUUGCUCUUCAUCCUUAUUGUUCUAAACUUGAUGAGCUACUUGGUUAUGCAGGUAAACGAGCAUCCAGAAGGACCAGAAGUACCAAAACAAAGUGAUGAAAGGGGGAAAUGUAUAGUACAGAAGCAAGAAGAUUCUGUUCGCAACCAGGAAGAACUGUUUGUUGAAGAAAAAAUGAGAUCUUGUGAAGAGGUUGAAACAGAGGUAUUAAAUGAUCUGGCUUCUAUUAAUACUCUGAUCUUUCCUGUCCAUAGACUAAUGAUAGCCAAAACUAUAACUUCAAACAGAUAAGCAAACUUAAAGAUAUAAAUGCUGGUGAUGGAACAAAUAAAAACAUUAUGGAAAAAGAAGAAAAGACCCUGGACAAAAUUCUGACGUCCACCAAAGAAGAAAUUGGUACCAAGAACUCUGAAGAAGGCCAAGUGCUUUCAGAGAUUCCCAGUCAAGAGGUUAAGUGACCAUAGAAGCCUGUUCUUUAUUCAUAUAUGUAACUCGCAGAUAUAAAGAUGCGUCCUCUCUUUCUACUAAAAUCACUUAAAUACCCUCUUUUUCAAAUCUGCAGAACUUUCAACAAGCUAAUUUAAUCAGAGAUGAAGCUUUAUUGAAAGAUGAGCGUGGAAUCGAGAACUUCAUGGUAGUUUCUUCAGAAGAAAUUAGCUGUGAAGGCUCUAUUGAAAAGGUAAACGAAAUGAGAACCUGAGAAUGAAUCAGCCAAUUAACAUCAAGGCAUUCAUAUGGCAACCAUUCACUGAGGGUCUUAAGUUUAUUGCAUGCAUAUGAAUUCUCGUGCCACCUUGUCUUUCUGGAAGAAACAUUGAAAUUCAAGUCUGAAAGUAUUCGAAGUAUACAGUUCUUAGUAACUACUAACUACUAUAAAUUUAAAGUUCUCCGUACAAAACAAAAUAAGUCUUCACUUCCUUUCCCAGAGUUUUUGUUUAUUUUGUAGUUAUUGCAUAAAAUGGGAAGCAAUGCAUGAUAAGAUGAUAUAUACAAGAAAUAGAAAAUUAAUUCUCUGCUGAUAGAGUAUAUUCCAUUGCACAAAUGUAGACCAUCUUUGAUCUUUUAUUUGUUUAUUUAUUUAUUUUGUUCGAGGCUGUAACAAGUGAGACAUCCUAGUAUCAUUGGGAUUCUUAUGUGCGACUUUUGAAAAAUAAGCCGAAACAAAAAUUAGCCAAAUGCUGACAAAUGGGUAUGACUUAUUUUUCUGAAAAAGAACUGACCAUUGACAUUGCAAAUCGAGUAUUCCUUUGAGUCUUUGAAACAAUAAGUUGCAAGGGAAGGUUUAAGCAAAUUUCAAAUAUUGCAGCUAGAUGCCUUCAUGCAUUUAUUCUAAUCAUUUUAUUGGUUUUCUUCGGCAGACUCUUUAACAUUGACAAAAAGAAAGAGAUUCUUCUUGGAGAAUUAUCAGUUAAUAAAGGAAGAGGCAGUGGAAACUCUUUCUGGGAGAAAUUCCAAAAUAUGACCUUAAGAGAAUUCACAUGACGUUAAGCUAGAAACCAAGGACUUAAACCACUAGGCCACGGUAACUGUAUUUCAGUUAUAAACAGGAAUCUUGCUAAAAUUAUAAGUCCCAAACCUCAUCAUGUAGAUAUCUGUUAACUUGAUAUAGUGCUCGGCAGUUGACAAUUACUAAAACCACCUGGAGAUUAAGAUAUGAACACCUUCUUCUCUCGUUAGAAUGAUUCUUAAAUGCAUAACUCCUUGUCCUUUUCUCACCAGUGUAUGAAACAUACUAAACAAUGGUAGCACUCAAAAUAUUCUGAGCAAUCACGAUCAUUGUUGCAGAACAGUUGAGCAUGUGUAGUAAUCCUAUGCGAGAUGAAACCAAAAGAAUUUCACCAUCCUAUUAGUUCCGUAUGUGUAAGGAAUUCACAUCUACUUAGCUAUUGAAAGACUAAGUGAAACUUUAAAUUCUUCUUGUAGAAUAUGCCAGUUGUAGACUCGAAUGACAAGACUGACGGUGAAAUUUCAUGCGAUACCAACAAUGAUGUUGCUGACCAUCCGGCAGUUGCAGAAAAACUCGAUGAUUCAGCAGUUGAAGAGAAACCCAAGGAAUGGAUCGUUGAAGAGAAACUGGAAGAAACAGCCAUUGAGGAGAAACUCGAAGAACCAGCAGUUGAGGAGAAACCUAACAAACCAGCGGUUAAAGAGACACCUGAAGAACCUGCAGUGAAAGAAACACCUGAACAACCAACGGUUGAAGAGAAACCUCAAGAACCAGCAAUUCAAGAGAAACCUCAAGAACCAACAGUUGAAAAGAAACCUGAAGAACCAACAAUUGAUGAAGAACUUGAAGAGCCAACAGUUGCGGAGAAACCUGAAGAACCAGCAGUUAAAGAAAACCAUGUAGAACCAGAAGUUGAUGAAAAACGUGAAGAACCACAAGUUGAAGAAAAACAUGAGGAACCAGCAGUUGAAGAAAAACCUAAAGAACCAAAAGUUGAGGAGAAACCGGAAGAACCAGCGGUUGAGGAGAAACCCGAAGAACCAGCAGUGAAAGAAACACCUGAAGAACCAGCGGUGAAAGAGACACCUGAGGAACUAGCAGUUGAAGAGAAACCUGAAGAACCAGUAGCUGACAAAAAACUUGAGGAACCAACAGUUGAGCAGAAACCUGAAGAACCAGCUGUUGAUGAAAAAGGUGAAGAACCGUCAGUUGAAGAAAUACCUGAGGAAUCGGCAGUUGAAAAUUUUGAAGAAGCAGCAGUAGAAGAGAAACCUGAAGAACCAACAGUUAAGGAAAAAACUGAAGAAGCACCCACUGAAGAAAAACCCGACGACCAAGCAGUUGAAGAGAAACCUAAAGAACCACCAGUUGGAGAAGAACCCAAAGAACAAAAUAGGGAAGAUACUGAAGCUGCCACAGAAAGAAUUGAUGAAUCUGGAACACAUAU
rnacentral:lncRNA from 1 species